AAUAUUGUUCCCGCAUACACCUGUCUCCUACACUUCCCAAACAAUGCAGUUGACCAAUCAGCUUCAAAGGAGCACUGUGAAUUCACAUUUGUUGAUAUGUAGCUAGGCAACGGGCCAGUGACAAAAGAGAACUUGCCAUUUCUGUAGCAACGCAAGAUGCUAACGUACUAAUUUCUUAAAUAAGAAAGGAUAUGCUAAGACCUGAUGCUUCGUUUCUGCUUAUUCCUCGGUGUGCACAAAGGAAUCAUUAUGUGGGAGUUUAAGUACUGAGAUUUUAAGAGCCUGCAUUACUGCUUGAAAUUAUUGUAAAGGGGAACAGCUUGAUCAUCCAUGAUACACAUCUAUCCAUGGAAAAUGGACUGGAGGAUAAAGCCUUAGCUGGGUAAAACACAGAAUCAACUUAAUGUAACACAUGCGGCUGUACAAUGUGGCAACACCAAUAGUUAUUGCUAUGAAUGCUGAAU